rnacentral:lncRNA from 1 species
GUCUACGGCUAUUGUUACUUUCUGUUUUCAAAUUAAAUGUAAAUAAAACAGGAUGAGAAACAAUAUUGUAUAAAAACAGCGGAGAGCUCGUUCGUGAGAAUGGAAGCUACAAUAAAUAUCGACACGUCAUCCAGAGCCGAGGAUAUAAACUAAUGAAUUACAUUUCAAAGAGACAGAAGAAGCUCCGACUAGAAAAAGCAAAAGAUUCCCAGCGAACCAGGUACGACGCGGGCGGUCGUCGGGUCGUCCCCGUCCGAAAGGGGAGCUCCGACAUUGACGAACCGACCCGGCGAUAUCAUAAAAGUCAUAUCAAAUACGAUCACAAGUCAACUGGCUAUCCUCGGGAUCAAGAACAGCCUCUAUCGAAGAUUCAAAUCCAAAGGUAAUAUCAGCCCUCCGAGGUACUAGUCGACCGUAUUCGAUUACGUUGAUUUCUCCUGUUUUUCUCGUUCAUCCAUAUUUCGUACUUUUGUUAAUCUAGUGUUAGACAUUUCCGUUUUAGUAGAUUUUGUACAUCAUUUCUUUGCUGUAAAUAAACUGCU